rnacentral:SRP_RNA from 1 species
CCUAAGGGUGUUGGAAUACACCUGUAAUCCUAGUUAAGGGGGGGGGGAGGCUGAAGCUGGCAGGUCUCUUAAACUGGGGUGUUCUGAUCUGUAGUGAGCUAACCUAACUGGGUAUCCUCACUGUGUUAAGCAUUAAUAUGGUGAGCCCUCAGGAGUGGGAGGCCACCAGAUUGCCUAAGGAGGGCAAAGCAGCCCAAGUCAGAAACAGAGCAGGCCAAAGCCACCAUGCCCAUCAAUAGUGGGAUCAGGCUGGUGAGAGGCCAAUGCACUUCUAGCCUAGGCAAAAGAUUUUUU